ensembl:lncRNA
CCGUAACUGAGGAAGCAGGCAACAGUGCCUAGCUCAGGUGACAAUCUUUAAGCAAAAGAAACACACAAGGGCGUGGAGACCUGGGGAAAAAGCAACACUGAGAAAUCCACCCUCUGAAACUGAGGAAGAUGGGCAACAGAGGCUAGCUCAGGUGGCAAUAGUUAAGCAAAAACAAAACACAAGGGCGUGCAGACCUGGCAAAAAAGCAACCCUGAAAUCCACCCUCUGAAACUGAGGAAGAUGGGCAAGAGAGGCUGGCUCAGGUGGCAAUCUUUAAGCAAAAGAAACACACAAGGGCGUGGAGACCUGGGGAAAAGCAACACGGAGAAAUCCAACCCUCUGAAACUGAGGAACAUGGGCAAGAGAGGCUAGCUCAGGUGGCAAUCGUUAAGCAAAAACAAAACACAAAGGCGUGGAGACCUGGGGAAAAAGCAACCCUGAAAUAUCUACCCUCUGAAACUGAGGAAGAUGGGCAAGAGAGGCUGGCUUCAGGUGGCAAACUUUAAGCAAAAGAAACACACAAGGGCGUGGAGACCUGGGGAAAAAGCAACACGGAGAAAUCCACCCUCUGAAACUGAGGAAGAUGGGCAAGAGAGGCUAGCUCAGGUGGCAAUCGUUAAGCAAAAACAAAACCCAAAGGCGUGGAGACCUGGGGAAAAAGCAACCCUGAAAUAUCUACCCUCUGAAACUGAGGAAGAUGGGCAAGAGAGGCUGGCUUCAGGUGGCAAUCUUUAAGCAAAAGAAACACACAAGGGCGUGGAGACCUGGGGAAAAAGCAACACUGAGAAAUCUACCCUCUGAAACUGACGAAGAUGGGCAACAGAGGCUAGCUCAGGUGGCAAUCGUUAAGCAAAAGAAACACACAAGGGCGUGGAGACCUGGGGAAAAAGCAACACGGAGAAAUCCACCCUCUGAAACUGAGGAAGAUGGGCAAGAGAGGCUAGCUCAGGUGGCAAUCGUUAAGCAAAAACAAAACACAAGGGCGUGCAGACCUGGCAAAAAGCAACAGUGAGAAAUCUACCCUCUGAAACUGACGAAGAUGGGCAACAGAGGCUACCUCAGGUGGCAAUCUUUAAGCAAAAGAAACACACAAGGGCGGGGAGACCUGGGGAAAAAGCAACACGGAGAAAUCUACCCUCUAGAACUGAGGAAGAUGGGCAACAGAGGCUAGCUCAGGUGGCAAUCUUUAAGCAAAAAAAAAAAUAAAAUAAAAAAUACAAUGGCGAGGAGACCCGGUCAAAAAGCAACCCUGAAAAAGGUACCCUCUGAAACUGAGGAAGCAGGGCAACAGUGCCUAGCUCAGGUGACAAUCUUUAAGCAAAAGAAACACACAAGGGCGUGGGGAGCUGGCGAAAAGGCAACACUGAGAAAUCCACCCUCUGAAACGGACGAAGAUGGGCAACAGAGGCUAGCUCAGGUGGCAAUCUUUAAGCAAAAGAAACACACAAGGGCGUGGAGACCUGGGGAAAAAGCAACACGGAGAAAUCCACCCUCUGAAACUGAGGAAGAUGGGCAAGAGAGGCUACCUCAGGUGGCAAUCGUUAAGCAAAAACAAAGCACAAAGGCGUGGAGACCUGGGGAAAAAGCAACCCUGAAAUAUCUACCCUCUGAAACUGAGGAAGAUGGGCAAGAGAGGCUGGCUUCAGGUGGCAAUCGUUAAGCAAAAGAAACACACAAGGGCGUGGAGACCUGGGGAAAAAGCAACAUUCAGAAAUCCACCCUCUGAAACUGAGGAAGAUGGGCAACAGAGGCUACCUCAGGUGGCAAUCGUUAAGCCAAAGAAACACACAAGGGUGUGGAGACCUGGGGAAAAAGCAACACGGAGAAAUCCACCCUCUGAAACUGACGAAGAUGGGCAACAGAGGCUAGCUCAGGUGGCAAUCUUUAAGCAAAAAAAAUAAAAUAAAAAAAUACAAUGGCGAGGAGACCCGGUCAAAAAGCAACCCUGAAAAAGGUACCCUCUGAAACUGAGGAAGCAGGGCAACAGUGCCUAGCUCAGGUGACAAUCUUUAAGCAAAAGAAACACACAAGGGCGUGGGGAGCUGGCGAAAAGGCAACACUGAGAAAUCCACCCUCUGAAACGGACGAAGAUGGGCAACAGAGGCUAGCUCAGGUGGCAAUCUUUAAGCAAAAGAAACACACAAGGGCGUGGAGACCUGGGGAAAAAGCAACACGGAGAAAUCCACCCUCUGAAACUGAGGAAGAUGGGCAACAGAGGCUACCUCAGGUGGCAAUCGUUAAGCAAAAGAAACACACAAGGGCGUGGAGACCUGGGGAAAAAGCAACCCUGAAAUAUCAACCCUCUGAAACUGAGGAAGAUGGGCAACAGAGGCUACCUCAGGUGGCAAUCGUUAAGCAAAAGAAACACACAAGGGCGUGGAGACCUGGGGAAAAAGCAACACGGAGAAAUCCACCCUCUGAAACUGAGGAAGAUGGGCAAGAGAGGCUAGCUCAGGUGGCAAUCGUUAAGCAAAAACAAAGCACAAAGGCGUGGAGCCCUGGGGACAAAGCAACCCUGAAAUAUCUACCCUCUGAAACUGAGGAACAUGGGCAAGAGAGGCUAGCUCAGGUGGCAAUCUUUAAGCAAAAGAAACACACAAGGGCGUGGAGACCUGGGGAAAAGGCAACACUGAGAAAUCCACCCUCUGAAACGGACGAAGAUGGGCAACAGAGGCUAGCUCAGGUGGCAAUCUUUAAGCAAAAGAAACACACAAGGGCGUGGAGACCUGGGGAAAAAGCAACACGGAGAAAUCCACCCUCUGAAACUGAGGAAGAUGGGCAAGAGAGGCUGGCUUCAGGUGGCAAUCUUUAAGCAAAAGAAACACACAAGGGCGUGGAGACCUGGGGAAAAAGCAACACUGAGAAAUCCACCCUCUGAAACUGAGGAAGAUGGGAAACAGAGGCUACCUCAGGUGGCAAUCGUUAAGCAAAAACAAAACCCAAAGGCGUGGAGACCUGGGGAAAAAGCAACCCUGAAAUAUCUACCCUCUGAAACUGAGGAAGAUGGGCAAGAGAGGCUGGCUUCAGGUGGCAAACUUUAAGCAAAAGAAACACACAAGGGCGUGGAGACCUGGGGAAAAAGCAGCACUGAGAAAUCUACCCUCUGAAACUGACGAGGAUGGGCAACAGAGGCUACCUCAGGUGGCAAUCGUUAAGCAAAAGAAACACACAAGGGCGUGGAGACCUGGGGAAAAAGCAACACGGAGAAAUCCACCCUCUGAAACUGAGGAAGAUGGGCAAGAGAGGCUAGCUCAGGUGGCAAUCGUUAAGCAAAAACAAAACCCAAAGGCGUGGAGACCUGGGGAAAAAGCAACCCUGAAAUAUCUACCCUCUGAAACUGAGGAAGAUGGGCAAGAGAGGCUGGCUUCAGGUGGCAAACUUUAAGCAAAAGAAACACACAAGGGCGUGGAGAGCUGGCGAAAAAGCAACACUGAGAAAUCUACCCUCUGAAACCGAAGAAGAUGGGCAACAGAGGCUAGCUCAGGUGGCAAUCUUUAAGCAAAAAAAUAAAAAAUAAAAAAAUACAAUGGCGAGGAGACCCGGUCAAAAAGCAACCCUGAAAAAGGUACCCUCUGAAACUGAGGAAGCAGCGCAACAGUGCCUAGCUCAGGUGACAAUCUUUAAGCAAAAAAAAAAAAAAACAAAAAACAAAAAACAAAACCCACAAUGGAGUGGAGACCCGGGGGAAAUCAACACUGAAAAAUACAAAAAGAAUGGAAGACCAAUAGACAGAGCAGGCACUUUCACCUGGGGUGGAGGAGGUACGCAUGGAUGACCU